rnacentral:antisense_RNA from 1 species
UGUGGGAGCUGGCUUGCCUGCGAUAGCGGUCUGUCAGUAAUAGAUGUGUGGCUGAUGCACCGCUAUCGCAGGCAAGCCAGCUCCCACA